rnacentral:rRNA from 1 species
UACGAAGGGGACUAGCGUUGUUCGGAAUCACUGGGCGUAAAGCGCACGUAGGCGGAUAUGUCAGUCAGGGGUGAAAUCCCGGGGCUCAACCUCGGAACUGCCUUUGAUACAGCAUAUCUUGAGUCCGAUAGAGGUGGGUGGAAUUCCUAGUGUAGAGGUGAAAUUCGUAGAUAUUAGGAAGAACACCGGUGGCGAAGGCGGCCCACUGGAUCGGUACUGACGCUGAGGUGCGAAAGCGUGGGGAGCGAACGGG